rnacentral:rRNA from 1 species
UACGUAGGGGGCAAGCGUUAUCCGGAUUUACUGGGCGUAAAGGGAGCGUAGACGGAGCAGCAAGUCUGAUGUGAAAACCCGGGGCUCAACCCCGGGACUGCAUUGGAAACUGUUGAUCUGGAGUGCCGGAGAGGUAAGCGGAAUUCCUAGUGUAGCGGUGAAAUGCGUAGAUAUUAGGAGGAACACCAGUGGCGAAGGCGGCUUACUGGACGGUAACUAGACGGUUGAGGCUCGGAAAAGU